rnacentral:lncRNA from 1 species
AAUGACCCAAAAGAACUAAGAUUCGACAUGAAUGUGAAGAAUUGGGUUACAUAGGGGAAGUGUUUCCAGUAGCGGAUAAGACAUACAUGUGGAAUAGAGGAAAGAAAGUAAUUUAAUAGUCAGAUGGUCUCUGCUGCGAAUCCAGAUCUGCUCAGUGAGAGUGUAUCAUAGGGUCUAGCCAGGAAAACAGAAACCACUCUACGUCUUUCAAACCGAUGCAUUUAAUCAAGGGAAAUUAUUAUCCAAAAUGAUGAAAAACCUGAGAAGCCAUUAGGAGAUGGAAGGCAACAGGAGAAAACUGUAACCACAACUAGAGGUGAUGAAACAACAGGAGGAAAUGGGUAACCAGAGCCCAGCAUCUGGAGCUGUCCAGGAGAAGCUGGAGUCAGUGAAGACUGCCUAGUGGGAAAGACGAUCAUUGAAGGAGGAGCUUUCUUAAGGUUUCAUUCCUGCUCCCAGCAAGCAGUUUCUCAAAUGUGUGCUGCUGGUUCCUACUUGAAGACUGAUGAGAAAUGAUGACAGCCCCAUAUCAACUCGCCAUGAUAAUCCUAACAUUUCUCUGCCACUGUAAAGAUGAGGAAACAAAGAUGCAGAUUCUUAUUGUCUUCUCAAGUACAUAGUGAGGAGCAGAACCUUUUCUUCUGGAAAACCAGAUUUAAAGAAAUAAGUACAUAGGCAACUCAAGGGUAUGGUCUGCUGAUACACUAAAGGUUUUUUUUUGUUGUUGUUGUUUUGUUUUGUUUUUCUGUUUUAAUGACUCUGGAGAUGAAAGGUUGUAAAUCAAGGGAAUCCCAAGGUAAGAAAAUAAAACACGUUCUCAUUGGUUUGCCAGUGAAAUGAAUGAUAAGUGCAAACUUAAACCUACAAGAUCGAGGAGGUGAAGUUUAAAUAGUAAGUUCUAUAAGAGCCAACCUAUAAAAACAGAUCUGUAGUGUUCCUUCUGACUAUACAGGGGUGUGAUGGUUAAUUUUAUGCAUUAACUUAACUGGAUCACAGGAUGCCCAGAUGUUUAGCUAAACAUUAUUUUGGGUGUGUCUGUGAGGCUGUUUCCAGAGAGAUUAGCAUUUGAAUUGAUAGACUGAGUCAAGAUUGCCCUGACCAAUGCAGUUGGGUAUCAUCCAAUCCUUUGAGGCCCGGACCAGAAGCCAAGAAGAAGGAAGGGAGAAUUUGUCCCCUCUGCCUGAUUGCUUGAGCUGAACAUUGAUCUCCUCCUCCUCUUGGCACUUCUGGUUCUCAGGCCUCAGACACAGACUGGAAUCUACACCAUCUGUGGACCUUUCCUGGGCCUCCAGCUUGCAGACAGCAGGUCUGCAAAAUCAGAUCAGCAGAUCUGUGGAACCACACAGCCUCUGCCAUCAUGUGAGCCAGUUCCUUAUAAUAAAUCUAUUUACAUGAAUGUAUAUAUCUUAUUGGUUCUGUUUCCCUAGAGAACCCUAAUACAAAGGAUUCCCUCUCAGAUAUGUAUAGAAAUUUAUUUUUAUGAGUUUCUAGCCAGGCAUUCAUGUGAUACCAAUUCUUGGCCAGUACUAAACUUUGACUCUUAAUGAUUAAACCACACUCUUUAGGGAGACCACAAUGUGGGGACACAUUAACAGAAGCCAAACACCACACAAGCAAUGAAACAAGAAGGACACACGUCAUCUGCUAAAAAUGUGUGUGUGUGUGUGUGUGUGUGUGUGUGUGUGUGUGUGUGUGUGUAACAUCAGGGAUCAACAAUGCAUGAGUUUGGGAAGACCAGAUGAUGAGACCCAGCUUACAAGGUAUUUUGUAUUUCUAAUUGUUAUAAAACCCGCCAGAUUCAAAGUAAGUGAGAAAUACAGAUAUAGAAAUGGCACUCAUAAAUGAAUUCAACUCCAAAGUGAAUAAAACUUAAGACUAUUUUAAAAUAAAAGUGCAAUUUUAUUUAAAUAAAAUAAAUGCUUUGAGUUAUUUUAAAAUAAAUAUUAGAAGAGCGAACCCAAAUGUUAACUAUGGACUUGGGUGAUAAUGAUGUGCACUGUAGGUUCAUAAAUAAUUGUAAGAUAUUUACCACUCUGGCACAGGAGGCGGAUGGUGGGGUAGUCUGGGUGUGUGUAGGGGGAAGGGAGUGGGAGGACAGAGGGCAUAUAGGAACUCUGUACUUUCUGCCCAGUUUAGCCCUGAACCUAAAACUGUCCUAAAAAUAGAGUGCUUUUUUAAAAAAAAGAAAAAUUAUUUUUUUAAAAGCACAUUUUCUGGAGUUGUGAUCUUCAGGAUUACUGCUAGCAAUUGCAUUUUACAAACAUGCAGAGGCCAGUGGCUUCCAAUCUCUGAGUAUAAUAUGUUGGUCUGGAGGAUAGACUCUGUUUACCUUUUGGAUCCAGACUUUGGUUCUGAAUGAACAUAUUUUAUAGAACAUGCAAAGGGCAGCCGAGCUCGAGGAAGCCUGCAGAGUUCUGCAGUGUGAAGGCACACUGAGCAGAGAUGGCAUUUCCAGUUUUCACAGAAGAUGCCACAGCUCUUGCAUAUACUGUAUCUCCUUCCAACUUAAGUUCCCAAAAGGUAAAAUCACCCUAAACAACCACUUUUAAAAGUCUAAAUCACUUUCCUAAAAACCAGAGGAAAUAAAAAUCACAGUUAAUAUAAAACCAACUACUAAUACUUCCUCUUCUACUACAUGACUGUGUGCAUAAAUAAAACUCUGCAGACAAUUCAAGGGAGCUUUAGAAAAUCCCAGGUAUCUACAGAGGUUAUUGUUCUCUUUGAUUUACCAAUAGGGAGAAUUUAAUUGGUGCAUUUAUUGUGUUUAUCACUGUAGUAACAUGAAUGAAAAUUUUCAGGUCUCUGUCUGGCUUAGAAGGAUCACUGCAAUGCGAUGCCACUGUCUUCCUUCAGGAUGCACCCAUGUGCUGAGGGAUGUGUGCAUUCACCCACUUAGGAGGCUAUAAUCAAAGCUGGCGGUCAGAGCUGGUGUUGGACCUUCCUACUGCCAAGUAUGAGUUGAUUAAUAGCGUGAAUUUUUACUCCGCCUUGUGGUCUUCUGAUUUUUCCCCACAUAUCAGAACCUUGAAUUUACAGUACGAUUAGUAGACUUUGAACAAAUAUUUUAACUGAAUGACUAAUUGAAUAAAUGAUUUAAUUAACACAAGGUGAGUUCAGGGACCAAAUAAUUUGGAUGAUUUACAAGGUUCAUGAAAGAACAGCAGAUAAGGCUGGACUGUGGAUUGGAGAUAGAGUGUAGGAUAUCCUGAAUGCCAGCUGAGGAGGUGGGAGGAGAGGAGCCUCCAGAGGUUUCUGAGUGGGGCGGGAGCACAAUCAAAGCAUGCUUAGUAUGACUGUGAUUAGAAGUCAUGAGUCAAAGUAAAUAUCUGAGAGACAUACCUAAAAAACAAUUUUCUCUUCUUAUUUUUCAUGUUGUUAAUGAAUUAUUUUUAAGUGGGUUUUAAGUUAACCUGAAAAGGUCUUGAAAUUUCAAUAAAAUUAAAACAUUCCAUUUCCCAGAGCUCAUGCAAAAGAAUAUUUCAUAAGUGAUGUAUUUCCAAGGAAAAGAACAUUGACAUACUCUGACUACAUGCUACCUAAAAUAAUAGAGGUUAUUGGUUAAAUAUAUUAAUAACGAGAAUCAUACUAAUAGUUAAUAAGCUUAUGUGUAGUUCUCCGACUUUUUUGAAAUAAUUUAAACAUGUGUUAAGACCUAACAUUUUUACUUAUUCUUUAAAGCUACAUACAGCUUUUUAAAAAUAGCUUUAUUAAAGAGAUAAUUAACAUAUCACAAAACUCAGCCAUUUAAGUGUACAAUUCAAUGGUUUUAGUAAAUUUGCAGAGUUGUACAACCAUCAACACAGUCUAAUUUUAGAAUAUUUUCAUCAACAAAAAGAAACCCCAUAUGCAUUAGCAGUCAAUUCUCACUCCACGCCCAUCCAUCCCCAGCCCUAGGUAACUUAAUCUUUCUGUGUCUAUAGAUUUUCUUAUGCUGGACAUUUCAUUAAAAUGGUAUCAUACAAUAUGUGGUCUUUUAUGACUAGUUUGUUUCACUUAGCAUAAUGUUUUCAAGAUUCAUCCAUGUUAUAGCAUGUUUGAGUAAGUAUUUCUUUUUAUACUGAAUAAUAUUCCAUUAUAUGAAUAUGCUAUUUUUUAAUCCAUACAUUCAUUUAUGGACAUUUGGGUUGUUUUUAUUUUGGGCUAUUAUGAAUAAUUCUCCUAGGAACUUCCAUGCACAAGAUUUUAUGUAGGCAUAUUUUUUCUUUCUAUUGGAUAUGUAUCUAGAAGCAGAAUUGCUUGGUCAUCUGGUAACUCCAUGUUUUACAUUUUUAGGAGCUGCCAAACGGUUUUCCAAAAUAGCUACACUAUUUUACAUUCCUAUCAACAUUAUUUGAGAGUCGCAGUUUACCACAUCCUUGCCAAUGUUUGUUACUAUUUUUAAUUAAAGCUAUCCUAGUGGGUGCAGGUGGUAUCACAUUGUGGAUCACAUUGUGGUUUUGAUUUGCAUUUCCCUAAUGGCUAAUCAAUGUGAACAUCUUUUUAUGUGCUUAUUAUUCAUUGUAUAUCUUCUGUGGAUAAAUAUCUAUUCAAAUCCCUUGUCCAUUUUUAAUUUGGUUAUUCAUCUUUUCAUUAUGAGUAUGAGGGUUCUUUAUAAAUUCUGGCUACAAAUCCCUUCUCAUAUAUUUGAUUUGAAAGUGUUUUCUUCCAUUCAGUGAGUUUUUCUUUUACUUCCUUUGAUAAUGUCCUUUAAUGCAUAAAAAGUUUCCAGUUUUCAUAAAGUUCAAUUUAUCAAUUUUUUCUUUUGUCACUUAUGCUUUUUGUGUUAUAUCUAUAAAAAUCACUGCCUAACCCAAAGUCACAAACACUCUUAGGUUUUAUUCUAAAAAUUUAUCAUUGUAGCUCUUAUUUUUAGGUCUAUAAUCCAUUUUGAGUUAAAUUUUGCAGAUAGUGUGAGGUACAGGUCCAACUUCAUUCUUUUGCAUUCAGUUAUCCCAGAACCAUUUGUUGGAAGUACUAUUCUUUCUCUACAAAACUGUGUUGGUACCUCUGCCAAGGAUCAAUUCUUCAUAAAUAUAUGGGUUUAUUUCUGGGCUGUCAAUUCUAUUCUGUUGAUCUAUAUACCUAUCCUUGUGCCAGUACCACACUGUUUUGAUUAAUGUAGCUUUUAUAAUGAGUUUUGAAAUCAGGAAAUAUGAGUGUCCAAGUUUGUUCCUCUUUUUCAAGAUUGUUUACCUAUUCUGGGUCUAUUGCAUUUCCGUAUAAAUUUUAAGAUCGGCUUGUGAAUUUCAGCAAAAAUUCCAGAUAAAAAAAUUUUUAUAGGGAUUGCAAUGAAUCUGUAGAUCAGUUUGGAGAAUACUCCCAUCUUGUCAUCUUAACAAUAUUAAUUCCUCCA